rnacentral:pre_miRNA from 7 species
AUGUGGUGUAAGACCCCCUUUCGGGGACCCCCACUCUAGUCUCAGGUGAGAGAGAGCACCCAAAGAAACACGAGAAUCC